UCCUACAAAUCACCACAUGAUC
rnacentral:snRNA from 1 species